ensembl:lncRNA
CCUGAACAGCCUCCAGGUGCAGAAUCAUCACUGCUUCGUUUCUGUUCCCAGGCACUUUAUACAGACCAGCACCGUGGCACUUUCAGGGCACACAGGAAUGACUCUGUCAAGACUCUCUCAGUUUCAACUGAAGGAAGACUAAUCCUUUUGGCUGAAACCAAAAGGGAACUUACUGUCUCAUUUCACUAAAAUGGCUAGCUUUCAGGUGCAGCUGGAUCAAGGGGUCCUGAUUCUUUAUGACUCAAUUCGUCUCUGAGGUCAUUUCCUGGAUGUUGAUUCCGUUCUGAGACAAGUUCUCCCAUUGUGGCCACGAGAUAGCUGCUGUGGCUGCAGACAGCACAUCCUCUCUGCUCCAACUCGGGAGCCUCUGCCCCGUGUCCCAUCGAAAAGUGUCAUGGGUUCUCAUUGGUUCUGACUGGGGCACAUACCCACCUGGGUCACUUCAUAUGGCCUGGGGAAUCCAGUGGACUGGCUUAGGACAGGGUCAUGUGCUCCCCUGGGGAGGGAGAUUGAGAGUGGAGCAGGGGUGACAUCCCCACAAGAAUCAGGAUGCAGUUUGCAGGAGAAGAGAAAAUCAGUGCUGGAAAGCCAAAAAAAAGCAACAAGGCAACAUUACUACUGUUCAUAACAACAGUUGUAAGUCACUCUCAGCCUCACACUUGCUGGGUCCUGUGUAUCCCCACCCCACUGGGCUUGAGACCUUCGACAGCGAAGAGGAGUUCUGCUCUGCCAACAGAAAAACCGGAGGCAGCAGGGGAGGGAGGAGCUGGCUGUUCCUCCUCAACCCAAGUCGGCUGCGCCCUGCGCAGGGAGGUUGGCACCUGCGGGCCCGGGGUCUCCGCGGGGAAGCUGGCCCAGGCGCCUGCUCCGGGCAGCUGUGGCCGUAACUCUCCGCCUCAGUCAGCUCGGCUGCUGUGACAGAAUCCCACAGACGGGCGGCUCAGACAUCAGCCGUUCACUCCUCACAGCCCCGGAGGCUGCGGGUCCAGGACCAAGGUGGCCGCCCGCUCCUUGCCUGCCACGGGCACCGACAGCCAUCGAUCCGUCAGUCAGGAUUGUAUCUGCAUCUGCGUUUCCCUCGAUGUCUACAUCCAUAUGCGUGUCCGAAUCUGUGUCUGUGCACACAGAGGGCCAGUUGGAAGCGGCGGAGAGUUAUGCCCUGGACAGACGUGGUCUCAAUGAGGAAAUACCACAGCUCCCUUGUUCUUCAUCCGCGACGAUUUGGAGUAACCUUCUGCACUGUCUCCCGGAGGUCCUCAGUGGGAUUAAGCCCCAGUGGCCCAUAGCAGUGACCUGCUCCUGAAGCACCCCGCUGGCUCCCUUCCCUGCCCUGACUCCCUUCCUGUCUCCCCAAGUGUUUCCUGGGAUCAUCUCCAAAAUCCAUGACUUGCACUUGAAUCCUUGUCUUAGAAAUUGCUUCUGGGGGAGACCAACAAAGACACCCCUCGUGCCUCAGACAGCAGUCGAUGUGACCAGCAGCUGAGGGGUCUGAUUUGGGGAAGGGAUUUACAAAAUUCUCAGACUUUCUUAUCGUCUGCUUGAAUGACAUCCUUAUCGGUCCAGAGCCUGACACAGACCAAGGCAUGUCUUUAAUGCAGGGUAAUCACUUCUCUCCUGUGUUUCUUGUGACUGAGCGUGCUAUUUAUUAGUUUUUCCUUUAUAUUCAGCCAUUGCUCUUGAAAUAAACUCACUGUAUC